GCGAAAAAGCCGUAAGCUAAUGACGUUAGCUAUAUAAUCUGUCAAGGGGAGUACAGAUUUUGUUCAGCGCUGCAGCGCCAGGGUUUCCGUUGGGUCUGUUUUUUGGUUGAUUGUUUGUCCUUUCAGUGAUUGUGUGUGUGAGAUAGUUUUGUUUCAGCGUGGCCGCGCAUUUGAACGUGUCUCGUUUCUUUCUGUGUUAAUUUUUGUGUGUGUUCUUUUUCUUUGUUGGUUGUUUUUGGCUUUGUGGGUUUUUGUUUUGAGGGUUACAUGACAGAGAUCAAAUUUGCGACGGAAGUUUUAAUUGUAUAUUUUUUCAGCUUCUUCUGCUCUCUAAGUAGAUGAAAUAUCUGUAGACGGAUGUGGCGAUGGGACAUCUUUGCCUAAGAUCAAAAGAAGAAGAUAUAUUUGUAGAUGGAUGUGGCGAUGGGACAUCUUUGCCUAUAUUCAAAAGGAUGAAAAACAGACAAUCAUAAAUAAGCCGAAUGCUUUUCACCCUGUGGAAUUAUGGCCCUCAUUGGCGCUUGCUUAGAAAGAUCUGUAAUACAGAGGUUUUUAGUGCCAAAAGGCUGGAUGCCAUGCCAUGCAUUUGAGAAGAAACGAAGUAUUUAGGACUAUUGAUUGCAUAUUGGAGGAUUGUAAACAGGGGAAAUGUAUAACAGAAGUAUUAAGGAGCGACUAGCACAGAGGGUUGAUAUGCAGUGCAGUGGGGUAAUGAAGUGAAGGAUUUUCUGGAUGUAAUGUUGGAUUUGAGAGAAGAUGGUACACAACUUAGUCUGGAGAACAUCAAAGCAAUGCUGAUGGGGAAAUGUAUAACAGAAGUAUUAAGGAGCGACUAGCACAGAGGGUUGAUAUGCAGUGCAGUGGGGUAAUGAAGUGAAGGAUUUUCUGGAUGUAAUGUUGGAUUUGAGAGAAGAUAGUACACAACUUAGUCUGGAGAACAUCAAAGCAAUGCUGAUGAUGCAGAUGAAGAUUGUAAUGUAUGCAUAGUGCCUAUUGAUUUGUAGUGGGUUUAUGAGUUAUGCUUUUCGACAAUGAGCUACAAAUUUGAUUGUUAAGGUGUGAAAUGAGCAUUAAUUUUUGGAUUGGAUGCUAAUUUUAAAGAUGCCAAUAGCUUAGUUGUGAAUGGUUGUGUAGUAAUGAGAACUUGAAAGCAAGUUUGAAGACAAAUUACUUGUAAAUAUUACUUAGCAAUUAUAAUUAAUAAAAAGUUUUUUUAUUUA